rnacentral:rRNA from 1 species
CAACAGGGAUUGCCUCAGUAACGGCGAGUGAAGCGGCAACAGCUCAAAUUUGAAAUCUGGUCCUUUCAGGCCCCGAGUUGUAAUUUGUAGAGGAUGUUUCGGGCGCGGCGCGGGUCUAAGUCCUUUGGAACAGGGCGUCAUAGAGGGUGAGAAUCCCGUAUGUGACCCGUGACCAAGCCCAUGUGAAACCCCUUCGACGAGUCGAGUUGUUUGGGAAUGCAGCUCAAAAUGGGUGGUAAAUUUCAUCUAAAGCUAAAUACCGGCCAGAGACCGAUAGCGCACAAGUAGAGUGAUCGAAAGAUGAAAAGCACUUUGGAAAGAGAGUCAAAAAGUACGUGAAAUUGUUGAAAGGGAAGCGCUUGCAACCAGACCUGCCCGCGGGCGAUACACCUUCCGUUCUGCGGGGUGCACUCGUCCGUGAUCAGGCCAGCAUCGGUUCGGGCGGUUGGAUAAAGGCCUUGGGAAUGUAGCUCCUUCCGGGGAGUGUUAUAGCCCUUGGUGCAAUGCAGCCAGCCCGGACCGAGGACCGCGCCUUCGGGCUAGGAUGCUGGCGUAAUGGUUGUAAGCGACCC